CGGUUUUUUAGAAUCACAGAGUAUGCUCCGGCAGGUACGGUGGCGCAGCAGAAUAUUAAGGGCUUAAUUCAGGGCUGAGGGCGGUGGCCUCUAUAAUUCCUCUUUCUCGUUGUCCCACUCCUUCUCAUUUUCUCAUCCAUCCUCUGUCAGCUCUGAUGUGAGAGGAAGGUGAUCAUCCAAUGUGAUCAUUUAUACUCUCUACCAUUUUUGGUCUCUCACCAUGCACAUUAAGACGCAAACGCUUCGUAUGAAAGUCGAUACGAGUCGGUACCUUCAAAUGCAGGCUCUAAGAAUGUUCUUGGGUGCUCUUCAUUGGGUUGCACAACUACACUGGGGCUUGAUCCCCUUAGGUGGAAGUCAGAUUGUUUGAUAAGAUUUUCCAUUUUGAGAAUCCUGCGGAACUGGAUGAUUGGCUGGCCGAUCUGAAUUCACAGUUCAGAGAGUUCAUAUCAAAAGCUUUUGUUGUAGGCCCUCUUUGCAAUGAUGCUAUAGGAGACAAGUUUCAGUUUGAAAGGCUUGGUUUUUCUGUGAUAGACUCAGAUUCUACACCAGUAAAACUUGCAUUCAACUGAACAUUCUAUGCGAUUCAUAUUCAAAGGGUGGGAACAAGUAAAUCCAGAGUCCGGAGCUGGGGUGACUGGUGGCCAAGAGAAAGUUCAUGGCAGGAGGCCAAAGGAUGUGGGGGUGGGUGUCACAAUGAGCAGAUGUAUUUUGAAUAUUUCAUCCAUCCUUCGCUAAUCCUAACUAUUUUGGGUGAGCUAAAGGUAUCCUGUUCUCCUAUUAUCAUAUUCAAUUAAAUUGAUACAUCAGCACCUUGUGCUUGAUAGUUCUAUGUUCUUAGCUCUUUGAUAAAGUCAAAAGGUUGCCGACCCAUAAGCCAAAAGUGUAUAGUUAUAUUUUGUCCUCUUUAUCUUCUUUGAUACGUUUACUUGUAUGUUUAAACAUAUUCAUGUUGAAAUCAUUCACUAGUUUUGGAUUUUUGAAGCAA